CGCGUAGGCGGUCUGAUAAGUCAGUUGUGAAAGCCCGGGGCUCAACCCCGGAAGUGCAAUUGAAACUGUCAGGCUUGAGUAUGGUAGAGGGAAGUGGAAUUCCUGGUGUAGCGGUGAAAUGCGUAGAUAUCAGGAGGAACACCGGUGGCGAAGGCGGCUUCCUGGACCAAUACUGACGCUGAGGCGCGAAGGUGUGGGUAGCAAACAGGAUUAGAUACCCUGGUAGUCC
rnacentral:rRNA from 1 species